CAACCCCAUGGCCGAAUAUAGCAAGGAGAAACCAUGGCUAGGGUUUUUCAAGCUUCCAAGCUCGAUUUGUUGACAAGCCAGCUCGGAAAUCGGAAACGGUCGGAGGCACGCUCACACUAUCCGUAUACCAUCUUGGCAUAAUGGCUUGUAUAUUUUGAGUAUGGCAUGUAUAGCAUUAUAAUCAUUUUAUAUGUAUGGUCUUAUGAUA